UUCUCCGUGGCGUAAUGGUAGCGUGGGUGACUGUUAAUCACCAGGUCUAGGUUCGAAUCCUAGCGGAGAAGCCA
rnacentral:tRNA from 1 species